rnacentral:rRNA from 1 species
AUGUUCAUGAACUUGAAAAUCUUUGCCCUUGGGCGCAAGCUAUUUAUUUGUCCAGGUAAGCCUUGGGCAUUCGGAAAGGCUAUAUAUCGCUUAUUGUGA